AACGAACGCUGGCGGCAUGCCUAACACAUGCAAGUCGAACGAGACCUUCGGGUCUAGUGGCGCACGGGUGUGUAACGCGUGGGAAUCUGCCCUUGGGUUCGGAAUAACAGUUAGAAAUGACUGCUAAUACCGAAUGAUGUCUUCGGACCAAAGAUUUAUCGCCCAGGGAUGAGCCCGCGUCGGAUUAGCUAGUUGGCGAGGUAAAGGCUCACCAAGGCGACGAUCCGUAGCUGGUCUGAGAGGAUGAUCAGCCACACUGGGACUGAGACACGGCCCAGACUCCUACGGGAGGCAGCAGUGGGGAAUAUUGGACAAUGGGCGAAAGCCUGAUCCAGCAAUGCCGCGUGAGUGAUGAAGGCCUUAGGGUUGUAAAGCUCUUUUACCCGGGAUGAUAAUGACAGUACCGGGAGAAUAAGCCCCGGCUAACUCCGUGCCAGCCGCCGCGGUAAAAC
rnacentral:rRNA from 1 species